UACGGAGGGUGCGAGCGUUAAUCGGAAUUACUGGGCGUAAAGGGUGCGUAGGUGGUUGAUUAAGUUAUCUGUGAAAUCCCCGGGCUCAACCUGGGCAGGUCAGAUAAUACUGGUUAACUCGAGUAUGGGAGAGGGUAGUGGAAUUUCCGGUGUAGCGGUGAAAUGCGUAGAGAUCGGAAGGAACACCAGUGGCGAAGGCGGCUACCUGGCCCAAUACUGACACUGAGGCACGAAAGCGUGGGGAGCAAACAGG
rnacentral:rRNA from 1 species